rnacentral:misc_RNA from 1 species
AAACCCAGAUCCCAUCAAAAACUCCGACAUCGUCGGCGGCAACGGCCUGAGACCUGAACCUUCACCAUCAUCAUAAUAAAGCUCAUAACUCCGCUCCUCUGCAGCUGCAGCAGCUUCAUCCUCCCCAGGUGCUUCAGAUGGACUACGAAGAACAAUAACCGGAUUAAACGGAGAUCUAUCACCCCGAUUACGCCUGCUCCGUCGAGAACCCAUGUUCACACUCCGAUCUGACUCUGGCCGUUCGUUCCACAUGGGAAACCUCCGGCGAGAUUCCGGCGACCCAAUAUUUCCCUCAGCAACUUCUAUAAAUCCACUAUCACAGUGAGGACAAACAACAUCGUUUCCAACUGAAAUUCUAACAAACCUUGUACACCGAUAACACCAGUACGAAGACAUCUGCAGUCGCCGGAGAUCAGUCAAAACUCAACCCAAUAAACCCGGUUAGAUCCAAUAACUCAAAACCCCCAAAUUAUGCUCCGAUUUGGCUCGCCGGAGAAUAUAAAAAAGGUUUCCUAAGAGAAAAAAAGAAAAAGCACAGAGAGAAGAAAAUGGGGGUAGCGUUGAAGAACGUGAAAGGUAAA